UACGUAGGCAGCGAGCGUUGUUCGGAGUUACUGGGCGUAAAGAGUGCGUAGGCGGUUUUCUAAGUUUGGUGUGAAAUCUCCCGGCUUAACUGGGAGGGUGCGCCGAAGACUGGAAGGCUUGAGUAUGGGAGAGGUAAGCGGAAUUCCUGGUGUAGCGGUGAAAUGCGCAGAUAUCAGGAGGAACACCGGUGGCGAAGGCGGAUCUCUGGGCCAUUACUGACGCUGAGGCACGAAAGCGUGGGGGAGCAAACAGG
rnacentral:rRNA from 1 species